AGUGAACGCUGGCGGUAGGCCUAACACAUGCAAGUCGAACGGCAGCACAGUAAGAGCUUGCUCUUACGGGUGGCGAGUGGCGGACGGGUGAGGAAUACAUCGGAAUCUACUUUUUCGUGGGGGAUAACGUAGGGAAACUUACGCUAAUACCGCAUACGACCUACGGGUGAAAGCAGGGGAUCUUCGGACCUUGCGCGAUUGAAUGAGCCGAUGUCGGAUUAGCUAGUUGGCGGGGUAAAGGCCCACCAAGGCGACGAUCCGUAGCUGGUCUGAGAGGAUGAUCAGCCACACUGGAACUGAGACACGGUCCAGACUCCUACGGGAGGCAGCAGUGGGGAACAUUGGACAAUGGGCGCAAGCCUGAUCCAGCCAUACCGCGUGGGUGAAGAAGGCCUUCGGGUUGUAAAGCCCUUUUGUUGGGAAAGAAAAGCAGCAGGUUAAUACCCCGCUGUUCUGACGGUACCCAAAGAAUAAGCACCGGCUAACUUCGCG
rnacentral:rRNA from 1 species